rnacentral:rRNA from 1 species
CGAACGGGUGAGUAACACGUGGGUAACCUGCCCAUCAGAAGGGGAUAACACUUGGAAACAGGUGCUAAUACCGUAUAACAAUCGAAACCGCAUGGUUUCGGUUUGAAAGGCGCUUUUGCGUCACUGAUGGAUGGACCCGCGGUGCAUUAGCUAGUUGGUGAGGUAACGGCUCACCAAGGCAACGAUGCAUAGCCGACCUGAGAGGGUGAUCGGCCACAUUGGGACUGAGACACGGCCCAAACUCCUACGGGAGGCAGCAUG